rnacentral:rRNA from 1 species
GAUGAACGCUGGCGGCGUGCCUAAUACAUGCAAGUCGAGCGAAGAGGGGACGGGUGAGUAACACGUGGAGAACAUCCUAUAAGACUGGGGUUACUUCGAGGAACCGGUGCUAAACAGGAGAAUUAUUGAUGACUGCUUGAUGCAUUAGCGUGUUGGUAAGGGAACGGCUUACCAAGGCCACGAUCCAUAGACGAACUGCGAGGGUGAUCGGCCACACUGGAACUUAGACACGGUCCAGACUCCUACGGGAGGCAGCAGUAGGGAAUCUUCCGCAAUGGGCGAAAGCCUGACGGAGCAAGGCCGCGUGAGUGAUGAAGGUCUUCGGAUCGUAAAACUCUGUCAUUAGGGAAGCGUUACCUAAUCAGAAAGCCACGGCUAACUCCGUGCCAGCAGCCGCGGUAAUAC